CCCCCCCACACACGCUCGUGGCUGCUCUCACACGGCGCGGCGCGCCGGCGCCCUCUGCUACGGCAAGCGCCAUGGGAGGUCGGUCCACGCGCACUUCCUUCGCAGCGCGCCUCCUGCGUGACGUACCGCCACGGUGGUGUCCACGUCGUCCGCAGGAUGUUCGACCCAAUGCCUACGAGGAACAUCUUUUCCUGGAACAUUCUUGCCCGGACGGUACGUAAGGCUGUGCGUGUGCGUCCCAGUGAAGCCGUGUAGAAGUCCAAGUUCGUGCGCACGCUGGAGGAUGCCGUCAGCCCACGCCUACGCCGGUCAGCUUGCUGUUAGGAAGAACGAUAGGGUUUGGAGCACGAUGAUCACUGGGUUGGGAUGGUGCCGGUAAUGUGUUAUGAAGCCGGUGACACGGAUGCUGCUCAUACCGUGUUUGACGAAAUGCAGCAAGGAGAUGAUGCGUGUGGAAUGCCUUGAUUGCCGGCUACGCCCGUGCCAGUUGCUUGUGUGAGGCUCAGCUCAACAGAGAGUUACAACACUUCACAUGAGGUCAUCAGAAUCAGAUGUCCAUCCACAUCUUUCCGAUUUAGAAAAGAGGUCGUCUGAUGCAUCUUUGUCCUUCCAGCCGGCUUAAAAUUUGGCUCAUCCCUCCAAACAAAUCAGAAAAAAAAAAUCUUCGCCCAUGUGCUGCUGCUUGGUCAAUGUUGCCACAUCUGAAGAUUGUUCUCCCAAGGCGCGAUCUAGAAGGAUGCGAUGUUUGUUUACUGGAGGCAGAAGAUUGCUGCUCCCAAGGCGUUUACCAAGCUCCUCCCUCGUCUCCACACCAACCGCAUCUCCCCACUAAUUUAACUCGAUCCAUCUUCCUGGAUCUGGGAGCCAAAGUAUCCUCUUCAGUACAAGACCAAAGGGGUCUGCAGGCUUCAGCUAAACCAGAUUUUUCAGACUUGGGAACAAAGGGAACACAUACAUAGAUGGAAUCCCAGGCCCACUGAGAGGCGCUGCUGGAAAUGGAUAGUGAAAAUGAUACAUGGGAGAAAAAGCUGCAUGAUCCAGGUGCAACUCCAAUGUUUAUUUUCGAUGAGUCUCCGGGCCUCGAGUGGAACAUGGGAUACGAAAUAAUCAAGGAAAUUUGUGAGGGUUUAAAUUACAUGCAGAAGGAGCGCUAUAUUAUUCAUCUGGACCUGAAACCUGAAAAUAUAUUGAUGGAUGCUACUAUGGUGCCUAAAAUUGCGGACUUUGGUUUGUCAAGGAUCUUCCGUGACAAACAAUAGCCAAUCAUCACUCAAAAUUGUCUGAGAGUACGUGGAUAUAUGCCACCAGAAUACAUAAUCCAAGGCUUAAUCACCAUCAAAGCAGACAUAUACAGCUUGGGUGUUGUAAUUACAAAGAUAUAGUCAAGGAUCAAGCCAGACAUAUACAGUUUGGGUAUUAUAAUUAUAAAGAUACAAUCAAGGAUCAAGCCAGAUAAAUACAGUUUGGGUGUUAUAAUUAUAGACAUACAUUUCAAGAUCAAAGCAAACAUAUACAGUCUGGGUGUUAUAAUUAUAAAGAUACAGUCAAUAAUAUUUGGUGGCAAGCAAUCCCGAAUCAUCAGUCAAAAUCGUCUUGGGACACAGGGAUACAUGGCACCCGAAUACAUAAUCCAAUGCGUAGUCUCCAUCAAGGCAGACAUAUACAGCUUGGAUGUUAUAAUUAUAAGGAUACAGUCAAGCAUCAAGUCGGGCAUAUACAGUUUGGGUAUUAUAAUUAUAAAGUACAGUCAAGGAUCAAGGCACAUAUACAGAUUGGGUGUUAUUAUUAUAAAAAUACAGUCAAGGAUCUUUGGUGGCAAGCAAUCCCGAAUCAUUACUCAAAAGCGUCAUAACACAGUAAGCUAUGCCUUCUUUUAUAGCAUCCUCUAUUACUUCUUGCGAUGCCUCAAAAUUUCAAACUGUACUGCAGGGGAUAUAUGGCACCAGAAUACAUAUUCGAAAGCGUAGCCUCCGUCGAGGCAGACAUAUACAAUUUGGGUGUUAUAAUUAGUGAGAUAUGGUCAAGGAUAUUUGGUGGCAAGCAAUCCUGACUCGUCACUCAAGAUCGUCUGGGAAACUAUGCCUUCUUUUAUAGCACCUUCUAUUACUUCUUGCGAUGCCAAAAACUCAGAAUACUUAAUCCAAGGCGUAGUCUCCAUCAAGGCAAAUGUAUUCUUUGGGUGUUAUAAUUAUCGAAAAAUUCACAGGUUACUAUCCCCUGAGUAUGGUUCCACAUUCUCAAUACCUUAGUGAGUACAAUAGUCCCCACAGUUUACAAGGAAAGCUUUCAAAUGGGAGUACUGUUGUGUGAAGACGCUGGCAAUUUGAAAUGGAAGUAAUGACCAACUAUUAAGGAUGCAGUUAAUUCCCCGAUGAGUGUUAAUCAAUCAACAUAGUAUGUCGCUGGGGUCAAUUUCGUGGACUGGUGGGAUGCGACCAUCGGUACUUCCCCAAUGGCGGCCCGGAUGGGCACCUGCUCGGCGAUCAUGCUCACAUCAUGGUAGUUCUGGAAGCAGUGUAAUGCUUUCAUCUUUGAUGGUGUGCGUCCUGAUCUAGGUGGCUUUCUUGACACGAUAAGGCGGAGGCCAAAUCGUGGGCAGCAGCUGGCGCUUCGGGUUUAGGGGUGCUGCUCCCCCCGACCUAGUGUGUAGAGUAUCGCAUUGUAACCGGGUGUUGCCUCUCUAGGCUUGUAUCAAACUCUUUGUAUCAAUGAAUGGCUUUUGCUUUUUCUUGAAAAAAUCAACAUAGUAUUGUUUCUAGGUUAUUGUGCUAAUGCACAACAAGUAAAGGCCGCAAGGGAAGGGAGCAAAAGAGUUAUCACAAUGGGCGAGAGAGGUCGCUCUGCUUUGAGUAUCUAUGUAAGGGAAAUCUUAAGAUGUAUCAUACUGGUAUGUGGGGGUGAUAGGAUCCAGUUGGUUUUAGUGCAGCUGAGAUCUAAUUAUUUCAUUUACCACUUUUUUGCUUUGUGUUUUACUGACAUCAUUUACUCAACCUUCUAGGAUUAUCAACCUUUAUGUUUAAUGACAGUCUAUUUUCACUAAUACAGAUGAAUCUGGUGGAUUUAGCUGGCACACACGCUAUCAAACAAUUAAAGGAAUUUGUCAGUGCUUACAUUAUCUUCACAAUGAUUGUAUUUUUCAUAUAGGUCUCAAACCCGGUAAUAUACUAUUUGAUGGGAAAAUGGUGCCAAAAAUAUUGGACUAUGAUCUUUUUUCAAGAUUCUUCAGAGAAGAAAGGACACUAACUGUCUUUUAAAAAAAUAACAAGACGAUGUAAGCGAAGUCCAUCGAGAACUCUAUUGUUGUGUGAGGUAAUAAUAAGGUUGGAAUACCUUGUGCCUUAUAUCACUAUUUUCUCAUGCAGGGCAUACAUGGUAGCGCCAAAGACGUACACAACUA